UACGUAGGGCGCAAGCGUUGUCCGGAAUUAUUGGGCGUAAAGAGCUCGUAGGCGGUUUGUCGCGUCUGCUGUGAAAACCUGAGGCUCAACCUCGGGCUUGCAGUGGGUACGGGCAGACUAGAGUUCGGCAGGGGAGACUGGAAUUCCUGGUGUAGCGGUGAAAUGCGUAGAUAUCUGGAGGAACACCGGUGGCGAAGGCGGCAUCCUGGACCGGCAUUGACGCUGAGGCGCGAAAGCCAGGGGAGCAAACGGG
rnacentral:rRNA from 1 species